AGUCGAGCGGAAACGAGUUAACUGAACCUUCGGGGGGCGUUAACGGCGUCGAGCGGCGGACGGGUGAGUAAUGCCUAGGAAAUUGCCCUGAUGUGGGGGAUAACCAUUGGAAACGAUGGCUAAUACCGCAUAAUCUCUUCGGAGCAAAGAGGGGGACCUUCGGGCCUCUCGCGUCAGGAUAUGCCUAGGUGGGAUUAGCUAGUUGGUGAGGUAAUGGCUCACCAAGGCGACGAUCCCUAGCUGGUCUGAGAGGAUGAUCAGCCACACUGGAACUGAGACACGGUCCAGACUCCUACGGGAGGCAGCAGUGGGGAAUAUUGCACAAUGGGCGCAAGCCUGAUGCAGCCAUGCCGCGUGUAUGAAGAAGGCCUUCGGGUUGUAAAGUACUUUCAGCAGUGAGGAAGGUUCAUACGUUAAUAGCGUAAGGAUUUGACGUUAGCUGCAGAAGAAGCACCGGCUAACUCCGUGCCAGCAGCCGCGGUAAUACGGAGGGUGCGAGCGUUAAUCGGAAUUACUGGGCGUAAAGCGCAUGCAGGUGGUUUGUUAAGUCAGAUGUGAAAGCCCGGGGCUCAACCUCGGAAUUGCAUUUGAAACUGGCAGACUAGAGUACUGUAGAGGGGGGUAGAAUUUCAGGUGUAGCGGUGAAAUGCGUAGAGAUCUGAAGGAAUACCGGUGGCG
rnacentral:rRNA from 1 species